ACAGAGGCCCCAAGCGUUACUGAGAAUCACUGGGUUUAAAGGGUGCGUAGGUGGCGCGUUAAGUCCGUUGUGAAAUCCCUUGGCUCAACCAAGGAAUGGCUUCGGAUACUGGCGUGCUUGAGGCCGGUAUGGGUCACUGGAACUGACGGUGGAGCGGUGAAAUGCGUAGAUAUCGGGAGGAACACCAGUGGCGAAGGCGAGUCUCUGGCCUAAUACUGACGCUGAUGCUCGAAAGCUAGGGGAGCAAACGGGA
rnacentral:rRNA from 1 species